rnacentral:rRNA from 1 species
AACGAACGCUGGCGGCAUGCCUAACACAUGCAAGUCGAACGAGACCUUCGGGUCUAGUGGCGCACGGGUGCGUAACGCGUGGGAACCUGCCUUUAGGUUCGGGAUAACUCAGAGAAAUUUGAGCUAAUACCGGAUGAUGUCUUCGGACCAAAGAUUUAUCGCCUUUGGAUGGGCCCGCGUUGGAUUAGCUAGUUGGUGGGGUAAAGGCCUACCAAGGCGACGAUCCAUAGCUGGUCUGAGAGGAUGAUCAGCCACACUGGGACUGAGACACGGCCCAGACUCCUACGGGAGGCAGCAGUGGGGAAUAUUGGACAAUGGGCGAAAGCCUGAUCCAGCAAUGCCGCGUGAGUGAUGAAGGCCUUAGGGUUGUAAAGCUCUUUUACCCGAGAUGAUAAUGACAGUAUCGGGAGAAUAAGCUCCGGCUAACUCCGUG